CAGCCUAAAUGGCACUUUACACUGC
rnacentral:miRNA from 14 species